UACGUAGGGUGCAAGCGUUGUCCGGAAUUAUUGGGCGUAAAGAGCGCGUAGGCGGUCUGUCGCGUCGGCUGUGAAAACUCGGGGCUCAACCCCGAGCCUGCAGUCGAUACGGGCAGACUAGAGUGCUGUAGGGGAGACUGGAAUUCCUGGUGUAGCGGUGAAAUGCGCAGAUAUCAGGAGGAACACCGGUGGCGAAGGCGGGUCUCUGGGCAGUAACUGACGCUGAGGAGCGAAAGCGUGGGGAGCGAACAGG
rnacentral:rRNA from 1 species